rnacentral:rRNA from 1 species
UGGGGAAUCUUGCACAAUGGGGGAAACCCUGAUGCAGCGACGCCGCGUGAACGAUGAAGCCCUUCGGGGUGUAAAGUUCUUUCGACAGGAACGAUAAUGACGGUACCUGGAGAAGAAGCUGCGGCUAACUACGUGCCAGCAGCCGCGGUAAUACGUAGGCAGCGAGCGUUGUUCGGAGUUACUGGGCGUAAAGAGUGCGUAGGCGGCGAGCCAAGUUUGGUGUGAAAUCUCCCGGCUUAACCGGGAGGGUGCGCCGAAAACUGGUUGGCUGGAGUAUGGGAGAGGACAGCGGAAUUCCAGGUGUAGCGGUGAAAUGCGUAGAUAUCAGGAGGAACACCUGCGGUGUAGACAGCUUUCUGGACCAAAACUGACGCUGAGGCACGAAAGCGUGGGUAGCAAACA